AAAAAACAACCCGGGGAUUUAAAGGAUCCCCGAUUCACGCCAGCCCGUGAGCCCGCUGAAACUGACAAGAGCCUGGGCAAAGGAGCUCCGAGCACACGCCUGCGUAGUCGGCCGGUGGCUCUUUUUCCCCUCCCUGCUUACCUUCUGUCAAACGAGGGGGACAGCCAGCAGCCCUGGCGCGUUCCUGUGGAUUUAACUUGUUCAUCCUGGCCAGGUCUUCUUGAGUUACACCGGACGGCACAAAAACGAGGAGGUAUCAUUAGGCAAAGGAGGGCAAAACUUCACCCAUCUGAGACAGCCGACUGUGAAAACCAGCAGACAAGAUAUCUACCUUUAGGACCUGUACUAGGGAUUUCCAAAUGCCAGGUGGUGGCCCAGACUCAGGAUUAAGCUAAGUAUAUGGAUAUGGAGAUAUGUGGAACUUCUCCAAGCAUCUGGAAGCUAAUCCUUUGGGACUAUGCCCACUGACAGAACCACAUCUUCAGGGCAAAUAGACUUGACUACUUCAAGAUACUUUCGGAAAGCCAGAAUUCACACAAAAGAGAAGAUCCAGCCAGUAGAAACUGGGCUACAACAUCAAGAGAGUCACAGGUUCCCAUCUGGCCUGGCAGCCUCCACUGUCUAGUAAGAUCUCAGCUUAGCUCAAAGGCAAUUUACCUUGAAGAAAGUCCUCUGGAUCAAGCAUGUUUCUAUACAACAGGUACAUAAAGCUUUUCACUUGUGAUUCAUCUUAAAAAUGACAAACAUUUCUGUCACUACAUGGUGUGUUUGUAAAACGCAGCAACAUGUGACCGCAUUGCUUAGCAAUGGAAAUCACAGCAAUCCUUGUUGCUAUUGUUAACUGAAUCCCACAAAUGUUUAGAUGAGGACCCUCCCAGAUCCAAGUCAUUCCUGGCUUCUCCCUCCCAGCCUCAAACCUUGGUAAGACAAGGAACUGCCUCCUCUUGAACUCCCCCUCCCAAUUUCAGUCAUUUUGGCCACCCUGCACUGUGGCACUCUGUGGCAGUGCCAUCACUAGCACUAAAGUUGAGGCCGAGAGCCUUCAGCAGUCUCUGCCAACCACCUCUGCAUCCCUUGCUCGUAUUUGGGGAUGCUUGCCUGGGCUCCGCUGAAGGCCUAUCGUUUCACUCAGGACUUCCAUGAGUAAAUGCCAAGAUUUUAUUUUUCUCCCUCUGUCAUGUAGAUAGAUGCAUACUGUACUGCAGUGGUUCCCAAACUUGGCAACUUUAAG